AUUGAACGCUGGCGGCGUGCUUAACACAUGCAAGUCGAGCGGUAACAGGCGUAGCAAUACGUGCUGACGAGCGGCGAACGGGUGAGUAAUGCUUCGGAAUCUUCCUUGUAGUGGGGAAUAACCUGGGGAAACUCAGGCUAAUGCCGCAUACGAACCAUGGUUGAAAGCGGGGGAUCGCAAGACCUCGCGCUAUAAGAUGAGCCGAAGUCGGAUUAGCUAGUUGGUGGGGUAAAGGCCUACCAAGGCGACGAUCCGUAGCUGGUCUGAGAGGACGACCAGCCUCACUGGGACUGAGACACGGCCCAGACUCCUACGGGAGGCAGCAGUGGGGAAUAUUGGACAAUGGGGGCCACCCUGAUCCAGCGACGCCGCGUGUGUGAAGAAGGCCUGCGGGUUGUAAAGCACUUUUAGUGGGGACAAAAAGCCGAGGGCUAAUACCUUUCGGUCUUGAUUUAACCCAAAGAAAAAGCACCGGCUAACUCUGUGCCAGCAGCCGCCGUAAGAC
rnacentral:rRNA from 1 species